rnacentral:lncRNA from 1 species
UAGAAAGGAUGAUCUCUGUAAACGAUGCGAUAGAGAGAAUAUUAUCAAAGAAGGUUCUUUUCUUCCUUUUCUCUCUUCUUUCUUUCUUCUUUUCUCUCUUUAUGUGGUUUUUGUUGUAUUAACUUAUGCCUUUGCUCCAUCAUCAUGUUCAAUCUUCACCUUCUUUUCUUUCCAAUUCUUCAAAAGGUGCAAUCUUUAUCUUCAAAAGGUGCAAUCUUUAUCCUCAAAAGGUGCAAUCUUUCUCCUCAAAAGGUGCAAUCUUUCUUCCAAACCACUGUUUUCAAGACUUUCGAUAGGAGUUGAUGAAUUUGAAUUUGUAGCAUAAUAUGACCAAUCUUUCUAUAGGAGUUGAUGAAUUUGUAGCAUAAUAUGACCAUUUU